rnacentral:rRNA from 1 species
AGAUUGAACGCUGGCGGCAUGCCUUACACAUGCAAGUCGAACGGUAACGCGGGGCAACCUGGCGACGAGUGGCGAACGGGUGAGUAAUACAUCGGAACGUGCCCAGUAGUGGGGGAUAGCCCGGCGAAAGCCGGAUUAAUACCGCAUACGACCUACGGGUGAAAGCAGGGGAUCGCAAGACCUUGCGCUACUGGAGCGGCCGAUGUCAGAUUAGGUAGUUGGUGGGGUAAAAGCCUACCAAGCCUACGAUCUGUAGCUGGUCUGAGAGGACGACCAAGCCACACUGGGACUGAGACACGGCCCAGACUCCUACGGGAGGCAGCAGUGGGGAAUUUGGACAAUGGGCGCAAGCCUGAUCCAGCCAUGCCGC